GACGAACGCUGGCGGCGUGCCUAAUACAUGCAAGUCGAGCGAAUCAAUGGGAGCUUGCUCCCUGAGAUUAGCGGCGGACGGGUGAGUAACACGUGGGUAACCUGCCUGUAAGACUGGGAUAACUUCGGGAAACCGGAGCUAAUACCGGAUACAUUCUUUUCUCGCAUGAGGAGAGAUGGAAAGAUGGUUCUGCUAUCACUUACAGAUGGACCCGCGGCGCAUUAGCUAGUUGGUGAGGUAAUGGCUCACCAAGGCGACGAUGAGUAGCCGACCUGAGAGGGGGAUCGGCCACACUGGAACUGAGACACGGCCCAGACUCCUACGGGAGGCAGCAGUAGGGAAUCUUCCGCAAUGGGCGAAAGUCUGACGGAGCAACGCCGCGUGAGCGAAGAAGGCCUUCGGGUCGUAAAGCUCUGUUGUUAGGGAAGAACAAGUACGAGAGUAACUGCUCGUACCUUGACGGUACCUAACCAGAAAGCCACGGCUAACUACGUGCCAGCAGCCGCGGUAACAC
rnacentral:rRNA from 1 species